CCUGGCUCAGAUUGAACGCUGGCGGCAUGCCUUACACAUGCAAGUCGAACGGCAGCACGGGAGCUUGCUCCUGGUGGCGAGUGGCGAACGGGUGAGUAAUACAUCGGAACGUACCCAGGAGUGGGGGAUAACGUAGCGAAAGUUACGCUAAUACCGCAUAUUCUGUGAGCAGGAAAGCGGGGGAUCGCAAGACCUCGCGCUCUUGGAGCGGCCGAUGUCGGAUUAGCUAGUUGGUGAGGUAAAAGCUCACCAAGGCGACGAUCCGUAGCAGGUCUGAGAGGAUGAUCUGCCACACUGGGACUGAGACACGGCCCAGACUCCUACGGGAGGCAGCAGUGGGGAAUUUUGGACAAUGGGGGCAACCCUGAUCCAGCCAUGCCGCGUGAGUGAAGAAGGCCUUCGGGUUGUAAAGCUCUUUCGGCGGGGAAGAAAUGGCAACGGCUAAUAUCCGUUGUUGAUGACGGUACCCGCAUAAGAAGCACCGGCUAACUACGUGCCAGCAGCCGCGGUAAUACGUAGGGUGCGAGCGUU
rnacentral:rRNA from 1 species